rnacentral:rRNA from 1 species
UACGUAGGGAGCAAGCGUUGUCCGGAAUCAUUGGGCGUAAAGCGCGUGUAGGCGGUCCGGUAAGUCCGCUGUGAAAGUCGGGGGCUUAACCCUCGGAUGCCGGUGGAUACUGUCGGGCUUGAGUACGGAAGAGGCGAGUGGAAUUCCUGGUGUAGCGGUGAAAUGCGCAGAUAUCAGGAGGAACACCAAUUGCGAAGGCAGCUCGCUGGGACGUUACUGACGCUGAGACGCGAAAGCGUGGGGAGCAAACAGG